GACGAACGCUGGCGGCGUGCUUAACACAUGCAAGUCGAACGGUAAGGCCCUUCGGGGUACACGAGUGGCGAACGGGUGAGUAACACGUGGGUGAUCUGCCCUGCACUUCGGGAUGAGCCUGGGAAACUGGGUCUAAUACCGGAUAGGACUCCGGACUGCAUGGUCUGGGGUGGAAAGCUUUCGCGGUGUGGGAUGGGCCCGCGGCCUAUCAGCUUGUUGGUGGGGUGAUGGCCUACCAAGGCGACGACGGGUAGCCGGCCUGAGAGGGUGACCGGCCACACUGGGACUGAGAUACGGCCCAGACUCAUACGGGAGGCAGCAGUGGGGAAUAUUGCACAAUGGGCGCAAGCCUGAUGCAGCGACGCCGCGUGAGGGAUGACGGCCUUCGGGUUGUAAACCUCUUUCAGCAUCGACGAAGCGAAAGUGACGGUAGGUGCAGAAGAAGGACCGGCCAACUACGUGCCAGCAGCCGCAGUAA
rnacentral:rRNA from 1 species